rnacentral:lncRNA from 1 species
UCUUUUUUAAAAAAAUGAUGUGUUACAUGGGAUAUGGGAAAUUUUUGUGAAAAAGAAAUUGGGAUGGUGAAUCCAUAUGGCCAUGAUGGAUUCAACAUCCAGAAAAAGUACCUCUGUCAGGUACCAAAGAUUGGGAAAUGGUUUAAAUAAAAUGAGACCAGACGUUGAGCAGGAAAGGUCGCCCGUCUGUGUCGAUUAAGGACCGUUCCGAUUGUUGGCCUGCUGAUCUAGGACCCUUUAACUGGCCACAUGCCUCAUCAUGGGUAAGCUUAGCCUCGGUUGGACCAAUACCAGAAAGGCCGGCCCGCAAUGGGAGUGGAGAGAUGGCGAGAGUAUCGUGUAUCCACCUGGCAAGAGGCUGGAUGGUGGGGUACUGAGCUCUCGGUUGGCGGGGACCCGUUCUGGUCUUGAGAAAACCGUGGGCGAGUUGACAUAUGCAAGGGUUAAGUGCUACAUAUGUCGUGUGGUUGGAGAUCCCCAGCUGGGUAUUAAUCGAUUCGGAUCGCCGAACUUCUCGGAUAUGAAGACUGGAUCUUCGACCUUCAGCGUAGAUAACAAGUGAAAUUAAAGUUGAUAAAAUGAAGCUAGUGUAGGACAAGUGAAUGCUCUAGACCAGACAAAUCUAGAUUCAGGAAAAGUACUUAAUUUGUGAAGUAAAAAUUUUGCAUAAGGAUCCACUACUAGUAAGCUUUUCUGCAAAAACGAGUCUUUGAAAUUUGACAAGCUUUACCUUGAAUCCCUUAAAUCCAGCAUACCCUUGAGAGUCUUUUCUUUAGUCGGGUAAGUCUUGCUGAGUAAUUGCGUACUCAGGGUUUUAUUCCCUGUUGUUUUUCAGGUUGUAAUUUUGUUCUGUUGUGGAUGGUGCUAAGUGCCGGUGGGCUCGGCCUUCUUAUAUAAGUAUAUCCCAUCUUUAGCUUCCUUAUUGAGGAUUGUCACUUAAGCUAGCAUGUAUUUUAAAACUUAUAAAUGUUUUAUACAUUCAAAUUGUAAUCUUUUGAAAUCAAUUUCUUUUGUAAUCAACUCCGAUGAUAUAUAUUGUAAUCUUGUUAUAACUUGUAAAUGUUGUAACUUGUAAUCAUUUUGUAAUAAAGAAUUUAUUUCCGCUGCAAGUGUUUGUAUGUGAGUUGUGUUUACUUAAUCCUACGAUCUUGGCGGUAAGUCGUUUAUCCGAGGUCCUCGGGGCACUCGGACAGAUCCUGUUAAGUUGUUUGGUGCACAUGCAUAGCUGUCUGAGGUCUUUGAGACAAGGACAGGUGCAUGUGGGCCCGAUAACUUGGGAGGUUCUGCGACAGCUGGUAUCGGAGCUGUAUUAAGUAUAAUACGGUCACAUACAUAUUUUUAAAACAAGGUUUUGGUUUUAGAAAACCUAUUUUCAACUAAACACAUUGUUUGGUUUUGAAAAACAGAUUUGAAAAACUAUAAUGCUAGCGACAUCCUCUGUUAAGCCCUAAAUUAAGGACUACUAGGUGGCCUAAUUCAGAAUACUGACCCACAACCUGGGAAGGGUAAUGCAUACAUGUGUAAUGUUAUUUUUAAAGCCAUUCAGUUUUGAAUGGAUCGACGCUCAGGUAAGGUGAGAUGUGAGAGCAUGACCGAACAAACGUCGGUCUAGGGGAGAGUAUAAAAAGCGCUUGAUUAUAUACAUGUUACACAUAUGUAUAUAUGAAGGCUGCGAUGUGGAGUAAUUACUUUUUUGGGGAUUCAGUACCCCAUAAAUGUGUAUGGGCAUACAGACAUGGGACUACUGAGAAAUGUAAUGUACUCGCAACGACGCACCUACGCUCAGGUAAGAAGGUGAGUUACCAUAAUGGGCUGCCCUGUGGUUAAAGUGUGGUAGCGGCGCCUAUGCGUGGCUCAGCGCUUAAUGAGGAGCUGGCCUCCAUAUAGAAAUAUAUGGAGUAUAAACUGUGAUAAACUGGCAUGUGUGAAUUGCAUCAUUGGGAAAUGGGCUGUGAUGAAGUUUUCUGCAGGUACACUAACUUCGAAACGUAUGUGUAGCUGACGACUAGCAAUAUACCGAGAGAGAACGUAGAUAUGCCACCGAUAUAGAACGCUAUUGCCACAUUAUGUUGGCGAAAUUCGUGAGGACGAAUAGGACGAGCAUGCAUCCUGAUUGUUGCAUUGUGUUUGUCAUUUGUGCACAAAUAUGCUUCUCUCAUCUUUAUUCUAAUAAUUCAUGAUUGUGAACAAACGUGCUUCCCUCAUCUUUAUCCCGAUAAUAAAUAAUUGGAAAAUGUGUGAAGCAUUACUAUCUUAUAAGCAAAUUUCUAGUCUUGUUUGUUGGGUCCUUUAGACAUGUAUUUAUGUGGCCUAUGGUUCUUCUUAGUUUGACCGCUAGUCCAACUUGUGUUUGUUCUGGUGUGUUUGUGCCGGUAGAAUGUUGGUGGUAUGUUUGUGUAAACUAAAAAUUUGGCCAUGUCCUCAUCUAGGAGCCAUGACCCAAAUCGAUGUUAAUUCCCUGAAAUUUUUCCUAGUUUUCAAAAGUGGACGAGUCUGAAUUUCCAUCGUUACUUUAGGACCAAGCUUAUCUAAAUAGGUGUUUAGGUAAUCUUCUCGUAGAAAAUAAAUGCACCUAAAUUUAAGACAAGGAUCUCGAGUACGUCUUUUCGUCGUUUAAUAUGUGACUCUUCAGUGGUCAUGUUUUCCUCCUAAGCUUCGACUUGUUCGGUUGGUGCAAACUGGUAUCCCUAUUCCAGUUUGCCUCUGCUUGAGGAUCACAUUGUCGGUUUCUCAAUCUAACCUAGGAAAGGAAUGCCUAGUCGUUUUCUCGAAUUGAAUGCCAAUGGUUUCCUCAUAGCUCUCGAAGGCAUAUUAAUUUAAUCUUCCGAUCGUUUUUUUCCUGCGUACUUAAUCAGACGCUCAUCCUUGACCUUGAAAUUGCUGCGAUGGGCAUAGAAAUAUGCUUGGGGCUGAAAUAACAGUCUCCCAUCAUACUCCCUUCAUCAUCCAAUUUAGGUUUUGGCCAUGAUCUAUUUGACUCUCUACUUGCAAUUAUUUUGACAGGUAGAGUCUCUUUGUAUAUUGUCACCCUUGCUCAGUCUAUCUAUGCCAUGUGAGAUUUCUUAUUGAUUACAUCUGGCAAUGGUGUUAUGACUAAAACUGAUGGUGCUGCGACGAAACCGAGGGCCUCCUGUGGGUGAUCAACACAUGGUUGCGCUACUUGGCACGCGCUGGUAUCACAGUUAGUAGUCAUAAUCCAUUAUGAGACUAUAUCGAUAUGUUAUCUUUGCGCAAAUUGUUCUUACCACGUGAGAUUCAUUAUCGGUGCUAGUUCGAUGAUGGUGUCCCAGUUAAUGACUUAUGGUGCCGCGUAAAACCGAAAGUCUCAUGUGGCGGCUGACACAUGGUAGUGUUGUUCGGUACGCUGGUAUCGAAGUCUCUGGCUAUGAUCCAUUAUGGAACUACACUGACAUGUUAUCUUUCGUAGACUACUUCGUUGAAAUGAUUUCUAUGUUGUUUGUUAGAAUGAUCAAGCUACAUAUGCCAUCAGUGUUAGAUCAAAAGAGUAUAUAACUCAGAUGUAUUCCUUAAGUAAAGUUCUUACCAGUUUAGAAGCUUUCAUCAAAAAUCGAAACCUAUAUGUGUCUGAUCGUGUGAUAAAAUCACCCUUUUCAUGUGAGGACUCCUUUCUCUUGAUCUUAGUGGCAACUGCACACAUGGAGCCUUAAGUGUUCUUCUGGCUGAGACCGACUCUGAUGGUUGACCUCUCUGCUUAGCUGGAAAGUGAUACAUGCUAUACCCACUAGAGAAACAACAUUCUGAGACACUCGUCUUCACUUGAAACUAGCUUAUGCUAUCACUAGUAUGGACAGGAGUUACAUGCUUCUCUACUCUUAAAAGUCUUUCGCUCCGAAUCUCGGGACGAGAUUCUUUUAAGGGGGGAGGAUUGUAACACCCCAGGUGUUUAUCGUCUGCUCGACCACGAUUGCGGACUUUAACACGUGAUAGCUAUGAAUGUAAAGGUCACUAAAUUUUAAUCAACCUCAUUUAUCACAAUUUUGAUAUCGUGUUUGUUUCCGUCUGUCUAAAUUUUUCCAAAUCUAUAUUUUUUAAUUCAGCCUUUGGUAAUUUUCGGAACAUCGAAUCCAGGAUUGUUUGGGUUGAGCCAUCGACGUCUUGCCCAAACUCUAAUCCUUGAAAUCGAUUCUGGUUUCUUAAACUUCAUUUGAAAUUCUUUCACGCUUGCGUUGCAUGUGUCUCUCUGUGGCCUAGCAUCGUGGCGCGUGGCAGGUGCUAACCGGUGUCUGGACAGCGCACAGCCUCUCGCUCUCGUGAGCGAUGCGUGAUGUCGCUUUCGAAAAGAUCAUAAUUUCGAUAUCAUUUUCAUCUCUGUCUAUCCAGCCUACUCUAAAUGUUUCGCGAAGUCAGAACGUAUUUGUUCCGAAAAUUAGUGAGUUUGGUGAUUAUUUAAAACUCAUCGAUCGUGCAAAUACGAACUUAAAAAUUUAGUUCAGUCCUCCGAUUUCAGCCCCAAAUAAAUUUAUUAGAAGUCGACGACUAAGUUUUUGGGUAUAAAAUAAUUUAGUGGUUACUUGCCAACCGAGAAAUCAUCACAUCCAAGGAUUUAUAAAUGAGAUAUGUUUCUCCAGUAAAUUAUCUAUAGCCGUGGAAUCAGGUGUUCAGACUACAGAUGAAAUUAUUUGAUUUCAAAUCAAAUUGAACGCGGUCUAAAAUAUCGGUGUUGACAUCGUUCCAGUUCGUUCCGAUUGUAUCUCACCUAGAUUCAAACGUUCGGGUAUAAAUAUCUCAUAAAAAUUUAUCUGAUUCUGGGAAUACCUACCAAAUCAAACACUGUUCAACUAUUAUCACCGAUCUCAUUUUGGUCCAAUCGAUUUGCAUCUGUUAAAUGUUAAUUCGAGCACCCGUAUUUAUCCAUAAAUUAUUAAAAAAAAGAAUCCUAACUUAUCAUCUCCACCAUUUUGCCUUUGACUUAUCCAAACCGUAUCCUCCUCUCAUUAUCCGCAGUGAACUCUAGAAGUCACGGUACCCAUCCCUACACACACGUCCGUGUCUCUCAACCUCAUCCUCUCCAGGCCUCCAGCGACCAGCCCCUCCCUUAUCCCAUUCUCAGUCAUCUUCAUCGAUCCAGAAACUACGGCCAUCUUCCUCCUCCUGUCAUGGCCGCCCCUCCCUCAUCUUCCUUCCCAAGCUGAGCUCGCCCAGCCCCUCUCUGUUUGUGGCGUGCUCCAGCUUCCCAUGGCGUCAAAGCCCCUAGCCAGGUUCCUAGCCCCCUCAUGGCCGCCCCUCUCUGCUCCCUGAUUUCUCCCCACGCCAGCAGCAGCUUCCCCUUCUUCUUUUGUUCUCCAUGAAUGAAAGCCCAAGCGCCAGCCCCCUCCCUUUUGUCAAGUGGUGAGCUCCAAAUCUCUUUAUUGUUUCCCUAGUCCUUGCGUGUUGUAUUUUGAUUUCAGUUUGUUGUCCAUGUCAUGACGCUUGUGAAACUCUAUGUGUUUGUGUGUGAGAUUGGAAGAGAGUUCUAGGGAAAUCGAUGGAGAAGAAACAGUGUUUCAGUUCGACGCGCUCUAGGUGUUUGAUGGAAUGGAUGAACCGGAGAUCCUUGUUGCUCUUGUGAAAUCCGAGUCUAUUUAGUGUUGGUAAGCUAAUUCAUUAUUUAGUAUUGAUUGAAUUGUUAGAUGAAUUGAAUAGAUGUGUUUGGUGAAUAUAUAUGCAUCAUGAGUUAGUGGUGAUACCUCUUCGUGGAUAGUGACAUGAUUGUAUUCAUGGUUAUGGUUAAAAUAAGUGAUGACGGUAUUGCUGUCCAAACCUGCACGUACAGUUUUGAUUGUGCAACUAAUUGAGUGAAGUAAAUCAUGUUUUCUGUGAAAGUGUUAUAUACAAAAGUUGUAGCUAACCUCUUCAUCUUACUUGUGCUAAAAUUUCAUAACCAUAGGACUAGUAGUUUAGGAGUUAUGAUUUUUCCAAGUCCAGUUUCAGAAUCUGUCCCAAUUCUGGACAGGUUUCGAAAAUUGCAUUUUUUGGCUAAGUUAAAAUGAGAACCAGUCUUUAGUAACUAUAGAAGAAUUUUAGUACUUUUCUUAAGCUUCCCAACAAAUUUUGGAUCACCCUUUUUGGUGAUCUAGAAGUCAGGUUAUGGCUGUUUGAAAUGUGAUGUCUGAAUCUGUCCAAAUCUGGACAGCAAUGUUUGUUUGUAUUAACUGACUUCGAUACACAUUGAAUCACCCUGAGAUGUUUACAAAUAAAUUGUAGACAAUUCUAUUAGCUUUCUAAAAAGUGUAGGAUCACCUGAUUUGGAUUUCUGAAACUCCGGUUAUGGAUUUUUGAAGUGAGUAGUCGAAUUCUGUCUAAAUCUGGACAGAAAUUGCGUUUAGUACUGUUUGAUAUUUCUAUAUGUCGAAUCUCACUGUGAUGAUAAUACCAAAAUUUUAGAGGACUUUAUAAGCUUUCCAAAAAGUCUUAGUUUACUAUUUUUGGAUGAAUAUCGUGUGAGUUAUGAAUAAAACAACUGACUGCUGUAUUGCUGUCCAAAAUCAGCAAGCAUUAAAAUGAUUUGCUUGGAAUUUCUUGUGUAGGUAACUAGAUUUGGUUAGUCCUUGGCUUGAUCAAUGAAGUAUGGUAGUUGCAUAUGUUUGUUCUUUUCUUUCUUAAUGCUUGCCUUAGACUUUAGCAUUUUAAGAAGGAAGUAAAUACUUUGGUGAGUGUAUUUGAGUUAGCGACCAUUUAGACCUUUAAGUUAAGAUGAGUGCAAUUUCAUUGAACCCUAUGUUAAUUGGUAAUGAAAUAUCCGUUAGUUCUAAGUAUGUUUUGAUGUUUUGUUUAGUCGAUAUACGUUGAUAGUUAAUCUAGAGGAAUGUUUGAGAAAGCUAGAUGAGUGACUUUUAACCAUACUAAGUUUUAGAUGUGUUCAAUAAUUGUGAGCUUGAAUUGUUACUUGACUCUCGAUCCUAUGUUCUAGUUAAGGAAAAUACAUAGCUUGUGUAGGGUUCAAUAUUCUUUGAUGUUUGUGUUAGAUUUGGUUAAGCCAGACAAACGUAAUUGUGAUACGUAGUGAUAUGUCAACAUAUAGUAAUUGUUUUUAAGUAUUGUGGUACAUCAAUGUUAUAUUCUAAAUAUAUUAGGACUUGUAUGUUGCUAAUGUUACUUGAUGAUUGAUUUAGGUCCGAUUGACUAGAACGUCAUGUUUGAUGUAGAAUUAGUUGUGAUGUUUUGCUUUAAGUCUGUAUCCUCCUUAGUAUAGCUUAUCUAUCUUGUGCUAUAUAUGCUCCUACUCACUCAUAUGCAUUAUGCAUGUCAUUUAGGUACGUUAAUUGAUCACGUGAUGUGGAAGACAAAGUUUGGAUUGAUCUCAAGAUAAUGCUGAUGGACGAAGCUAAAAUGGGUGAAUCAAACAAGUGCCAGAAUGGGAGAUGCUCGCCAAGCAAACAUCAUCUAACAACACUGACUUAGUGUUAUCCCAGGCAAGCCCCGGUGCAUUUGCCACCUCCUUGUUGUUAUAAAACUUUUAUCACUUAUAUGUUGCAUUAGGUGAUAGGAGUUGAGUGAUGAAACAAUUGAUGCAUUGCCAUUCCUUGGAAUUUGAUUAUCUUGAUUCCUGUUUUAUAAAGAGAACUAAAGAUGCUUAGCCCUGCUUAGAUAAUUAAAAGUUGUUCUUUUUUAAAAAAAUGAUGUGUUACAUGGGAUAUGGGAAAUUUUUGUGAAAAAGAAAUUGGGAUGGUGAAUCCAUAUGGCCAUGAUGGAUUCAACAUCCAGAAAAAGUACCUCUGUCAGGUACCAAAGAUUGGGAAAUGGUUUAAAUAAAAUGAGACCAGACGUUGAGCAGGAAAGGUCGCCCGUCUGUGUCGAUUAAGGACCGUUCCGAUUGUUGGCCUGCUGAUCUAGGACCCUUUAACUGGCCACAUGCCUCAUCAUGGGUAAGCUUAGCCUCGGUUGGACCAAUACCAGAAAGGCCGG